rnacentral:rRNA from 1 species
UACGAAGGGGGCUAGCGUUGCUCGGAAUCACUGGGCGUAAAGCGCACGUAGGCGGACUCUUAAGUCAGGGGUGAAAUCCUGGAGCUCAACUCCAGAACUGCCCUUGAUACUGAAGAUCUUGAGUUCGGGAGAGGUGAGUGGAACUGCGAGUGUAGAGGUGAAAUUCGUAGAUAUUCGCAAGAACACCAGUGGCGAAGGCGGCUCACUGGCCCGAUACUGACGCUGAGGCACGAAAGCGUGGGGAGCAAACAGG